CCCCUGUACUCCUCAUUUGAGUAUGACCCCCAAAACAUCAAAAGGGAAUUGUCCUUGCACCGUCACAAUGGAGACUUUAUGACUUAACUGGGGGCAAUGAGACAUGAUGCUGCCUGGUGCACCCGAGCUGCGAGCAGCUGCCAGAGGAGUGGUCAAGUUUGUGUGCAGGGCCAGCUGGAAGCCUCAGGGUGCCUGGAACGAACACUUGGCUUUGAAUUCUGUCCUAGGGUGAAUUUAUAUUUGGUUUCUAGGUCUAGCUCAAACUUUCCUUCUUUAUCAACUAGAACAAACUUGCCAAAUAAUUUCACUUCUCUCAUCAAGUAAUAGUGCAUGAGUAAAGCUCACCCACAUAGGGUGGCAGAGUCUAGAUCAUGGGAGCAGGUGGCUGCACCACCAAGAUGCACGGCUUUUUGCCCACCAAGGCAGCAGAGGCCUUUAAAACCCCUGUGAGCUCCUCGUGCUGGCUGAGACAGGUACUGCCUUAGCUACAAGGGUGGGACGUAGGCUGUCCACCAAGUGGUUCAAGCAUUGUUCAUUCAUCCCCUCAUUAAUUCAGCUGGCAUUUCCUAAGCACACGGGAUGUGCCAGGCACAGUGCUAGGCAUGGAACUGAUCCUUGCCUGCCUGGAAGGUACUGAGAGUGUUGGGCUGAGGCCAUGGCUCCACAUUCCCAAGCCCAUUCAUCUCCUGUUCAUCCUGCCUAGAAAACACGGUAAGGACAGGAAUGAGAAAGGAAGGACGAUGCAACUGCAGGUUGGGCUCAGCAAUCAGAAGACCACUUAAAACCACAGUGUCCUCAAAUUUCUGCAAAUCACUCAAGUGCCAGCCCUUCAAGGCCAAAACAAUGACCAAGAGUUGCAUGAGGGAGCUGUGGGGGCUUUCCCUCUCCAGAUUCCAGGCAAAGAUCCACAGGCAAAGGAGACGGGAAAGGCCAACCUGCUGCCUCCAAGUGGGAUCAGCUCUGGAUGCAGUUCACACUCUAGAGACCCUGCGGGCUCAGGCCCAGGCCAUAUCCUGGCUGAGCUUUCCCUCAUCACACCCCUUCUCCUGAGAGCACCCCCAUCCAUCACUGGAACAGAGGUCCCCGCCCCAGCCUCUGGGGAACCCAGCCUGAGGCAGGAACUGUUUCGGAGUAACAAAGCCAGCAACAGGAGGAGCCAAGACCCACAGGGAGACCUGUCUGACUUAGAAUCCUGCCUUCCUUCCAGUGCUAGAAAGUAAAUCUGCUGUGGUUUGAAUGUUUGUGAACUGCCCCAAAUCCAUCUGUUGAAAUCCUAACCCUCUAGGUGAUGGUGUUAGGAAGUAUGGUCUUUGGGAGGUCAUAGGUCAUAGGGGUGGGGCUCUCAUGACCGGGUUUAGUGCCCUUAUAAAAGAGACCCCAGAGAUACCCACUGCCCCUUACACCGCAUGGGGACACAGUGAGGAGGCACCACAUAUGAACCAGGAAGCACUCACCAGAUACCCACCGAGUCUGCUGGUGCCUUGAUCUUCUAUUUCCCAGUCUACAAAACUGUGAGACAUAAAUGCUUGUUAUUUAUAAGCCACUCUGUUUGUGGUGUUCUGUGAUACCAACCCAAAUGAACUAAGA
rnacentral:lncRNA from 13 species